UGCAAGGAGUCAUAUAGCCUGGGUGU
rnacentral:piRNA from 1 species